rnacentral:rRNA from 1 species
UACAGAGGUCCCAAGCGUUGUUCGGAUUCAUUGGGCGUAAAGGGUGCGUAGGCGGUGGGGCAAGUUGGAUGUGAAAUCUUGGGGCUUAACCUCAAAAUUGCAUUCAAUACUGCUCCGCUCGAGUUCUGUAGAGGAGAUUGGAAUUUACGGUGUAGCAGUGAAAUGCGUAGAUAUCGUAAGGAACGCCAGUGGCGAAAGCGAAUCUCUGGGCAGCAACUGACGCUGAGGCACGAAGGCCAGGGGAGCAAACGGG